GUUCUGGAUUCCCGUAGUAACUUAAAGGGAAACUUUCACGAUGUCCGGAGCCCUUGAUGUCCUGCAAAUGAAGGAGGAGGAUGUCCUCAAAUUCCCUGCUGCAGGAACCCACCUUGACCUCCAAAUGGAACAGUACAUCUACAAAAGGAAAACUGAUGGCAUCUACAUCAUAAAUCUGAAGAGGACCUGGGAGAAGCUUCUGUUGGCAGCUCGUGCCAUUGUUGCCAUUGAAAACCCUGCUGAUGUCAGUGUCAUAUCCUCCAGGAAUACUGGCCAGCGAGCUGUGCUGAAGUUUGCUGCUGCCACUGGAGCCACUCCUAUUGCUGGCCGCUUCACUCCUGGAACCUUCACUAACCAGAUCCAGGCAGCGUUCCGGGAGCCGCAUCUUCUGGUGGUUACUGACCCCAGGGCUGACCAACAGCCUCUCACAGAGGCGUCUGAUGUUAACCUGCCUACCAUUGCUCUGUGGAACACAGAUUCUCCUCUGUGUUCCGUGGACAUUGCCAUCGCACGCAACAACAACGGGGCUCACUCUGUUGGUCUGAUGUGGUGGAUGCUGGCCCGGGAAGUUCUCCGCAUGCGUGGCACCAUCUCCCGUGAACACCCGUGGGAGGUCAUGCCUGAUCUCUACUUCUACAGAGAUCCUGAAAAGAUUGAAAAGGAAGAGCAAGCUGCCGCCGAGAAAGCUGUGACCAAAGAGGAGUUUCGGGGUGAAUGGACAGCUCCAGCUCCUGAGUUUACUGUUACUCAGCCCGAGGCUGCAGACUGGUCUGAAGGCAUGCAGCUGCCCUCUGUGCAGUUCCCCACUGAAGACUGGAGCGCCCAGCCUGCCACGGAAGACUGGUCUGCAGCUCCCACUGCUCAGGCCACUGAAUGGGUGGGAACAACCACUGAGUGGUCUUAAAAGUUCUUCUACAAACUCUUAAAAAUGGAAAUAAGGUUGAUGGAAAAUAAACAUGAGUUUCUUAAAAAAAAACAAAAAAACAGGUACUAUAAAAAACUUCCAUGAUUCUAUUUAUGUGUACAUUAGAAGAAAUUUCCAGCUAUUACUGUAAAUCCUCAAUGUAUUGUUUCAGCAGUACUAAUUU